rnacentral:lncRNA from 1 species
GGCAACCCACUCCAGUCCCCUUCUGCACUGUGGAAGCUUUGUUCUUUUGCUCUUUGCAAUAAAUCUUGCUACUGCUCACUCUUUGCGUCCACACUGCCUUUAUGAGCUGUAACACUCACUGCGAAGGUCUGCAGCUUCACUCCUGAAGCCAGCCAGACUACGAACCCACCGGGAGGAACGAACAACUCCAGAUGCGCCACCUUAAGAGCUGUAACACUCACCGCGAAGGUCCCGCAGCUUCACUCCUGAGCCAGCAAGACCACGAACCCACCAGAAGGAAGAAACUCCGAACACAUCUGAACAUCAGAAGGAACAAACUCUGGACACACUGCCUUUAAGAACUGUAAUACUCACCGUGAGGGCCCGCGGCUUCAUUCUUGAAGUCAGUGAGACCAAGAACCCACCAAUUCCAGACACAGUGGGAUCACAGAGAGAGCCAACAGUCCAGGCCAUGACAAGCUGGCACCCAGCUCUGCUUCACAUGAUCAAACUGCAUCACGGAAGCUGCACACGAUGACACCCUGUCUGGAAAGUUUUUGCCAGAGGGCAAAAGACUGCAAGCAGAAUAUCCCUUUGCCAUUUCUCAUUCAGGACUGGCCGUUGUCUGAAAGCAAACCUCAAGGACAGGACUUCUGGACUCCGCAGCCACUUCAGGCUGCUGCUCCAUCGCAUGAAUUCCAGCAGGUGGCGCUGCACCCCGCGCGGACCCGGCUUGCCUCUCGGCCCCAGGGAGGUCGGUUGAUGAGCAGUCGGGAAGUGGGUCUGCGCGCACCCCGCUGCAGCUGUGGCAAACGCAAACGAUGACACACAGGCUUGACGAGGGCCUUUGUCAGAAGCAAUGGGGAUCUGGCGUCACCGCACAAUGGAAAACAAAGUGCUUCUGCCUGGCUGGCCAGAAUGCACGUUUGCUCACUAUUGAUGCUGGGGCAUUUACAGGCAGAAUGAGUUCAUGUGAAAUUUCAGGAUCUGCCAUGACUCAGAUUCACUUUCUGUAAACCAGAGUCAACAUUACAUUUCCCUUUACUCUGGGCCAUUCCUUGAAUUUUUAGGUCACCAGUUGUUUUUGUACUAACUGAAGGGAUUUGAGUAUUUCACAAGCACCUUAUUUUUAUUAGCAUUUUUAGGGCAUUACCAAUUUGGGACGGAUCUGUAGUGUGAGAGAUUGUUGUCACUCUUAGCUCCAAACAUAGGUUGACUUUAUAUAUUAUUUACAUGUUCAGAAUUAUACUGUGUAGAAAUUCAAAUGAAACUUGCAAAAUACUUUUCUGGCAGGAAGCCCUGGAGAGGAUCGUUCAUGGAAACAAGGAUGACGACUGGGGUAAGAAAUGCAGGUGACUCGUGAGUGGUCAGGGAGUGGAAGAGAAGACGGCUGGAAGGUUUUAGCAUUCAGAAAAAAAAUGGAGACAACUAGAGUUGAUCUGAAGAUUAUGGCAGAAUUCAAUAUUGGGGGAAAGAAACAAGAUGGGGGUUAGAAAUUAGAAACAGCAGAGCUCCACAGGUUGGAAAGGUUGGAAAGGAUUUGAGCAAGAGAACAAGGAGCCUGCUAAUAGCACCCUGGGUUUACAUCAAGAGAAGCACCUGGAGAGAAUUAACUCGGGAGGAGGUGGGGGCAUGGGAAACCUUUUCAUCUCCAAGAGCGGGCAGGAACAGCAGCUGGCCUGAACUUGAAGGUACACCAGGUAGCUUGCGUGGGCCAGGAGAAGGUGAUUCUCUUCUAUGCCUCUCUCCAACGCCCUGCUUCUGAUGCUGCUCCUCUACCUGUAUUGAGGGGAAGAUACAUCCCUAAGAAGUUCCCUGAACCCCAUUCUUUGUUGUGGCUAACUGGUCCCCUUGGAAUUUUUCUACUAAUUUUCAAUUCCCCCUCUCACCUGGUGAAAUCUUGAAUCUUACUGUUCAAUAAAAGUUCUUCUACCGAAAAAAAAAAAAAAAAA